rnacentral:lncRNA from 1 species
AAGCUUCGGCCUGAACCACGUAAAUAUUGUGUUCUCUCUUUUUCUCUCCCAAUUCAAUGUUUUUACAUACUCUCACCAAUUUUAACAUGGUAUCAGAGCGAUAGACACUUCGGCUCAAAUCUGCGCUCGUCAACCUCAUAUCUGAGAUAGAAAAAUUUCAAGUCCGUCUGCCCAUCUUCUGUCAUGGUGUUGUGCUUCUCAUUCUCUUGUUUUGGAUCAGUGUGUCUUCCAUUCUCUCCUCUGCGAAUUGAACUGCAAUUUCUUCUUCGAAAUUAAAGUUUCUUCCGCCUGUAUGUACCUCAUUGAAAAAUCACUUUUUGACCCAUGUUGAGCGUUUUACUUGCUGAGAGGAAGCGAUGAUAGCAACUAGAGACCAAGGUUGGGUCAACAAGUGCCACAUCUCUCUCAAACACCAGUUCUCCCACCACUCUCUUUCUAAACCCCAAGCACCACUCUCUCUCUAACACCAGGAAUAUAGGGCUUUCCUUGCCAAAUCCAUGAUCUUUCUUUUGGCUAAUAUUUUUUGCCUACAUUGGCUCUUUUUCUCUCGAUUUAGGGCUGAUUCUUCAUAGCCUACUAAGAAUCAGUAAUGGGCCUCAAAAGAGAAGGCAAUCUUAGACACCCAAUUCAUUUUUCUUCCUUCGCUCUUUAUCUCUCUAGCAAUAAAAAGGUUUCAAUUUUAUAUCUUUUCAAAGAUUAGAAAAAUGUGGUAGUUCCUCGAAUAAAUCAAACUUAUGAUUCCCCACUUCCAAGUCGGGUGAUAAAAUUUGUGGUGCUUGAUUCUCAGGCUUGAAUCCUAUACAAAAGAAAAAAAGAAGUGGAAAAAAAAGAGAAAAACGAGUGGUAUUUUUUCUUUAGAUGUGGGCUACUGCCUAAAAACCCAAUUUCAUUGACAUUUUUUUGGUAUCAUUGUAUUGAAAAGAAAAAAAAGUCUUUUACAAGUUGGGUGUUUCUUCGCAUCCACACCCAACUUGAGGGGGAGAAUAAUGGAGAUAUAGAGAUGAGAUGAGUAGAGAUAAAGUCAACAUCUCUAAUGUAACCGCUAUGUGGAUAAGAACAUCAGUUCUUACCAUGAUUCUCACAGUUUUCAGUUGUCUCGCACCUCGUCAUGUAGCAGAAGAUUUCGUUACACCAUUAUUGUAGUGACAUCGUCAAGGGGAGCACAUUCAUGAUUAACGGAUUUUUUAAUGAGAAACUUUCACCAAUCUUCAGUGUUCGUUGCCACUUUAUUUGUCGCAGAGCUGUAUUCGUUGUGCCUUUGUAGCACUUUUAGUGGUCUCUAGACCAAGUUUAGCGAUCAUGUGUCUCAGAUCACAUCUCUUCACUCUUACAAAUUAUUCAAGUACGCUAGUGAGAGUAGCGUAAGUUUUUUUGGAAAUUUAUUGGUUUCAAGCCUCCAGUCCUGAUUUCAAUUUGGAAAGAUGGGCACCUCGCUUCAGAUCUCUGUGCACCAACUUGAAGGAGAGUGUUGAAAAUAAAAAGCGAUCAAAUCAAAUUACUUGGUCAUCAAGUUAGUUAUUGAUAAUAAGACCUCAUAUUAUUUACCUCUAUCUCCAAGAUUCAUUGUGAAUGUCAUCUAUAUAUAGAGGCAUUUAUUGAUGUAAUCUUUAUCCAAAAUAGUGAAGAUAUAGC